GUGAGGAAUAUUGGUCAAUGGACGCGAGUCUGAACCAGCCAAGUAGCGUGAAGGAUGACUGCCCUAUGGGUUGUAAACUUCUUUUAUAUGGGAAUAAAGUGGUCCACGUGUGGAUUUUUGUAUGUACCAUAUGAAUAAGGAUCGGCUAACUCCGUGCCAGCAGCCGCGGUAAUACGGAGGAUCCGAGCGUUAUCCGGAUUUAUUGGGUUUAAAGGGAGCGUAGGCCGGAGAUUAAGCGUGUUGUGAAAUGUAGACGCUCAACGUCUGCACUGCAGCGCGAACUGGUUUCCUUGAGUACGCACAAAGUGGGCGGAAUUCGUGGUGUAGCGGUGAAAUGCUUAGAUAUCACGAAGAACUCCGAUUGCGAAGGCAGCUCACUGGAGUGUAACUGACGCUGAUGCUCGAAAGUGUGGGUAUCAAACAGGAUUAGAAACCCUGGUAGUCC
rnacentral:rRNA from 1 species